rnacentral:sRNA from 1 species
UUCAACAAAAUCGGGAUGUGUGUACGUA